rnacentral:rRNA from 1 species
UACGUAGGGUGCGAGCGUUGUCCGGAAUUACUGGGCGUAAAGAGCUUGUAGGUGGUUUGUCGCGUUGUUCGUGAAAUCUCACGGCUUAACUGUGGGCGUGCGGGCGAUACGGGCAGACUGGAGUACUGCAGGGGAGACUGGAAUUCCUGGUGUAGCGGUGGAAUGCGCAGAUAUCAGGAGGAACACCGGUGGCGAAGGCGGGUCUCUGGGCAGUAACUGACGCUGAGGAGCGAAAGCGUGGGGAGCGAUCCGG